GACGAACGCUGGCGGCGUGCUUAACACAUGCAAGUCGAGCGAUGAAGCUCCUUCGGGAGUGGCUUAGCGGCGGACGGGUGAGUAACACGUGGGUAACCUGCCUCAUAGAGGGGAAUAGCCUUCCGAAAGGAAGAUUAAUACCGCAUAAGAUUGUAGUUCCGCAUGGAACAGCAAUUAAAGGAGUAAUUCGCUAUGAGAUGGACCCGCGUCGCAUUAGCUAGUUGGUGAGGUAACGGCUCACCAAGGCGACGAUGCGUAGCCGACCUGAGAGGGUGCCCCGGCACAUUGGGGCUGAGACCCGGCCCAGACCGCUACGGAAGGCAGCAGUGGUGACUAUUGCACAAUGGGGGAAACCCUGAUGCAGCAACGCCGCGUGAGUGAUGACGGUCGUCGGAUUGUAAAACUCUGUCGUUGGGGACGAUAAUGACGGUACCCAAGGAGGAAGCCACGGCUAACUACGUGCCAGCCGCCGCGUAAAAC
rnacentral:rRNA from 1 species